AUGACUUAACAGCUACAAAUCGAAAAGCUCACGGGACUCGAUAAUUAUAAAGCUUGGUCUUGGACAGUAGGAGCCUAUUUAGCCUCCGAAGAUUUAAUAGAGGUUCUUGAAUAUGGUCCCGGUAAAGAUAAAGAGUCCCGACUCAAAGACGCACGAGCUAAAUUCAUCAUUUUGUGUUUGAUCGAGACGACGCUUUGCCAAUCUUUGGAGUGCUUCUCUACAGCCCGUGACUUAUGGUACUAUUUGAAAACACAAUAUUCUUCUUGUUAAAACCAAGUACACUGGAACGGAUCUAAAACAAAUGGAUUAAUAAUUGAAUUAUAGGUAUUCUUUCUAAAAGAAUUUAGAGAUAUGAUAAAAAGAGAGUAAAAACACUUUUAAUUUUCUUAACACAACACAUAUGUAUAUGAAAUACUGUUAUUACAAAAAUAAUAAUAAACCUCAAUGACAAUACGAAUAAAGAUAGCUAAUAAAAUAUA